GCAAAUCACAAGCUGCUGAGAAGGGAUGUUACAACCUUCUGUAGUUCGAAAAAGACUUCUUCUGGAUAGAUAUACAACUGGGAACAUAUGAAAAAGAUAUGCGAUGAAAGCUCUGAAAACUCUGGCUGGUGGCUAACUUUUGUCCAAAAUCUGAGGUUCUUUACCACACAGCCCUGUAAUGCGAUAUAUCAAGGUUGUCAUGGGAAGACUGUU
rnacentral:lncRNA from 1 species